rnacentral:rRNA from 1 species
CGGAGGGAUCAUUAAAGAGUUCUAUAACUCCCAAACCCAUGUGAACAUACCUAACGUUGCCUCGGCAGGUCGCACCUACCUUGUAGCACCCUACCCUGUAGGGCCUACCCGGGAGGUGCGGGUAAGCCUGCCGGCGGCCCACCAAACUCUGUUUGAUAUUGAAUUCUGAACCUAUAACUAAAUAAGUUAAAACUUUCAACAACGGAUCUCUUGGUUCUGGCAUCGAUGAAGAACGCAGCGAAAUGCGAUAAGUAAUGUGAAUUGCAGAAUUCAGUGAAUCAUCGAAUCUUUGAACGCAUAUUGCGCCCAUUAGUAUUCUAGUGGGCAGGACCGUUCGAGCGUCAUUUCAACCCUUAAGCCUUCGUUGCUUAGUGUUGGGAGCCUACGGCAACGUAGCUCCUCAAAGUUAGUGGCGGAGUUGGUUCACACUCUAGACGUAGUAAUUUUUUAUCUCGCCUAUUAGUUGGACUAAUCCCCUGCCGUAAAACCCCCAAUUUAUCAAGGUUGACCUCGAAUCGGUUCAGACAAACUCGCUAAAUUGAAGCAUCUUAGUCAGCGAAGGAAAAGAAACCAACAGGGAUUGCCCUAGUAACGGCGAGUGAAGCGGCAACAGCUCAAAUUUGAAAUCUGGCCCUCGGGUC